CAACCUGCCCUUUACUCGGGGAUAGCCUUUCGAAAGAAAGAUUAAUACCCGAUAGCAUAAUGAUUCCGCAUGGUUUCAUUAUUAAAGGAUUCCGGUAAAGGAUGGGGAUGCGUUCCAUUAGGUUGUUGGUGAGGUAACGGCUCACCAAGCCUUCGAUGGAUAGGGGUUCUGAGAGGAAGGUCCCCCACAUUGGAACUGAGACACGGUCCAAACUCCUACGGGAGGCAGCAGUGAGGAAUAUUGGUCAAUGGGCGUUAGCCUGAACCAGCCAAGUAGCGUGAAGGAUGAAGGCUCUAUGGGUCGUAAACUUCUUUUAUAUAAGAAUAAAGUGCAGUAUGUAUACUGUUUUGUAUGUAUUAUAUGAAUAAGGAUCGGCUAACUCCGUGCCAGCAGCCGCGGUAAUACGGAGGAUUCGAGCGUUAUCCGGAUUUAUUGGGUUUAAAGGGAGCGUAGGUGGACUGGUAAGUCAGUUGUGAAAGUUUGCGGCUCAACCGUAAAAUUGCAGUUGAUACUG
rnacentral:rRNA from 1 species